rnacentral:rRNA from 1 species
UACAGAGGGGGCAAGCGUUGUUCGGAAUUACUGGGCGUAAAGGGCGCGUAGGCGGCCUGUUAAGUCGAACGUGAAAUCCCCGGGCUCAACCCGGGAACUGCGUCCGAUACUGGUAGGCUUGAAUCCGGGAGAGGGAUGCGGAAUUCCAGGUGUAGCGGUGAAAUGCGUAGAUAUCUGGAGGAACACCAAUGGCGAAGGCAGAUCUCUGGGCCGUAACUGACGCUGAGGAGCGAAAGCAUGGGGAGCGAACAGG